AUGAAUACCACAGCUUCCUGACCUACCCAAAUGGACACCUUUAUCUCCACUGGCAAUUUUUCUUUUUUGACAGAGUCUCACUCUGUCUCUCAGGCUGGAGCCAUCCAAUCUUUACAUGUUUUAUUAAAAAUAAAAAAUGAGGACAGGUGCCAUGGCUCACGCCUGUAAUCCCAGCACUUCGGGAGGCUGAGGUGGGAGGAUCAUUUGAUGCCAGGAAUUUGAGACCAGCAUGAGCAACAUAGCAAGACCUCAACUCUAAAAAAAAAAAAAAAACUUAAAAUUAGCUGGGCCUGGUGGUACAUGCCUGUAGGCUCAGCUACUCAGGAGAGUGAGGGUGGGAGGAUCGCUUGAACCUGGGAGGUCGAGGCUGCAGUGAGCCAUGAUCAUGCCACUGUACUCCAGCCUGGAUGACAGAGCAAGACCCAGUCUCAAAAAAACAAAAACAAUAAUGACAUCAGGCUGUACAUACAUAAUUUAGAAAAGAAUGUUUUGUAACCUGCUUUUUUCACUAAAAACACAUCAUAUUUCUAGUUCAUUACCCAUUUUUAGUUGCUGCUUUUGGUUUGGAUAGACAAUAAUUUAUAGGUUUUCAAUUUUAAAUAUUAAAAAGAACACUGUGAUAAACAUUCUUGUGUCUAAAAUCUUUGCAUCUAUCAGUAAUUACUUAAAUAGACUGAGUUGAGCUGGGAUUACUAUGGCAAAGAAUGGGCAAAAAUCUAUUGCUCUUGAAACCUACCAUAAAAUCCCAUUUGGAAUGCUUGUAACAAGUCAUAUUCCUUUCUUGACAUCCUCAUUAUCAAGUAUUAUUAAAAGUACUAGGCUGAUGACUUUGCUCAAUCCAAUAGGGGAUACAAAAACAGCAAAGACAUGAAAGAGAAGAUGAUGAUAGUGGUAUCCCAGAAAAUGAGAGGGUAACCAACAGCACCAAAAGUCAGGCAAUCAGAUAAACCAGUUUCUAAGCUGAGGAAGGGGAGUGACAAUUCUUUCAAGAAGAUUGUCCACAGAGAGAAACAAUAGGGUAAUAACCAGGAGUGCAGGGUUGAAGGGGCGUUUUUUGGCUGAGGGCAACGGACCAGUAGAGGCUGAGCAGCUGAAAGUACAGGUGCCAAGGGGGUGGCUGAAGGAGUAAGAUCCCAUUGAUGGGAUGAAGUGGGAUCAUAACAGAUGACAGGUUGAACAGAAAGGCUAUCUCCAUGCAUGAGGCAGCAGGAUGCAGAUGUACACACUCCCUUGGAGGCUCACAGUGGGAAGUGAAAGUUCCUGCAUUUUGAACUUUCCUCCCUCUGUGAAUUAGGAGGUGAGGUUAUCUAUUAGGCACGUGGGUGAGUAAGCAGUUGGAACCAAGUGGUGAAUGUUUAUAGAAGAGGGUUCUGACCAAAGACAAAGAUUGCUCAAUGGCACUGAGGUCCAACCGCAGUUGAAAGUGGAAGUGCACACAGAUUUGAAAAAAAUCAAGGCCUUGUAAGGCCAAUUGUAAGGCCAUACUUGAAAACAUUCAGGGUGGCAGAAUUUGGGAUGAAGACUGCAAAGCAGAAUUGAGGCCUCAGUGACUCCUGCAUAGUGACUGUGAGAUUGAUAGAUAACAGAGAACUGGUGAAGUAACCAGAUGGCAUUUGGGCCUUCUGACCCUUUCCAGACUUCAUGGAAGUGGCAGAAAACUGUAGCCAACAUCAGGGCCUCAAAUUGUGGUUCCACCAGUGACUAGCUACAUGGCCUUGGGCAAGUCAAUUUAACCUCUCUGUGCCUCACUUGCCUUAUCAGUAACAUGAAGACAUAAUAGUAUCCUCAAGUAAAGUGCUUACAAUAAGGCCAGCCACAUGUACCAGAGCACUAAAUGUCAGCAUCAUGACCAUUUCUCAUUUGAACAAUGAGGGCUUUGUUAACAGUCUCUAAGGCACAGAUUCUUAAAUAUUUUGGUCUCAGAAUCUUUUUACAUUCUUAAAAAUUGUCGAAGACGCCAAAGAACCUUUUUUUUCUCCAGCCUGGGUGGCAGAAUGAGACUGUCUCAAACAAACAAACAAACAAACAAAAACGUAGUCACUUAAAAACAGUAAUAAACCCACUAUCUAGUAACAGAACACAUUUUAAAGAAAAAUAACUUAUUUUUUCCCAAAAAAUGUGGAAGUACGAUAUUGUUUUUCAGAUCUCUUUAAUGUUUGGCUUAAAUGAAGACAGCUGGAUUCUCUUCUUCUGCAUUCAAUCUGUUAGGAUGUGCUGUUUGCUGAAAGCAUGAAAAUCCUAGCACCUCACCUCACCUCUUGGGGACCUUGGACCGCACUUUGAGAACCAUUAGUUUUUCUUUCAGCUCUACAUCAUUCACAGCCGGGCCUGGUGGCUCAUGGCUGUAAUCCCAGGACUUUGGGAGGCUGAGGUGGGUGGAUCACCUGAGGCCAGCAGUUUGAGACCAGCCUGGGCAACAUGGUGAAACCCCGUCUCUACUAAAUAUACAAAAAUUAGCCAGGCGUCAUGGCACCCUCCUGUAGUCCCAGCUACUCAGGAGGCUGAGGCAGGAGAAUCACUUGAACCCGGGAGGCAGAGGUUGCAGUGAGCCGAGAUCGCACCACUGCACUCCUGCCUGUGCGACAGAGAGAGGCUCUGUCUCAAAAAAUAAAUAAAUAAAUAAAUAAAUAAAUAAUUUGUUCAUUCACUCACUCAUUCAACACUACUGGAUCCCAGAGACAAAGAACAAUGUGGUCGCUGCCUUUGAGGAGUCUAGUUGAGAAAAAAGAUGAAAACGAAUUAAAAAUUACAGCACGACAUGAGUGAGCAGAGGAGGAAGUUAGGAAAUUACUGGUUUGCCUAAGGGAGGCAGGGAAGGCUUACAGGAGUACAGGGAACCCGAAUUUUGACUUUACUUUCCUAUGCUCCACCUAAGCAGAAGGAAGAGUAUGCACAAAGGCACAGGGGCAGGAAUUAAUACAGUACAAGGAAGCCCAGGGUGCGCUGGCAGGAAGAGUCCGUAUGCUGGAAAAGCACGUUGGGCCUUAAAGUUACAUUUCAUCCUACAAGCCCCAGGAGGCUGGGGUGAUGAGAGCUUGCUUUUCUUUUUUUUUUGAGAGGGAGUCUCGCUCUGUCACCCAGGUCUGGACGCGAUCUCGGCUCACUGCAGUGGAACAAAAAUCAUUUGGUAGACAAUUUGGUAUAAGGAUUUAAAUUAAUCCUUCUUGAUCUUCUUUUCUUUUUUGAGACAGAGUGUCACACUGUCACUCAGACUAGGAUGUGGUGGUACAAUCACGGCUCACUGCAGACUCGACCUCCUGGGCUCAAGCAAUCCUCCCACCUCAGCCUCCUGAGUAUUUGGGACCAAAGGCGGAUGCCACCACGCCCAGCUAAUUUUUUUUUUUUUUUUGAGACGGAGUCUCACUCUGUCAUCGACUGAAAAAAAUGAAGUAACUGUCGAAAACAAAGUUAUCUGUUUAGUUAGCUAACCCUCUGCAAAACCAAGCAAAUGAAAUCUCUAUAUUUACUCUUAGUCCCUCCUGCAGUUCAGUACUGUUGUAGGCUUUCCUAUCUGCUCCACCAUUUUAUCAGACUACAGCACUGAUAAUGCCUUAAUCUCUAUACAAUUUAUUUAUAGACAUCACUUACCCAUCAGGAGACAAUGGGAUCAGCGUUGUUCUCCCCAUUUUUACAGCCCAAGAAAUUGAGGCUCCUGAUACCCAGGAUCACAUAUGCCAACACCGUAAAAUGCUCAGAAAGGCAUCGACACAGAGCUUUACUUAAUACCCUUCUUUCUACUCCACCACACCCCAUUUACGGCCAGGUUGGAUCUCUUUCUACAAGAGAAAUGGA
rnacentral:lncRNA from 10 species